UACGAAGGGGGCUAGCGUUGCUCGGAAUUACUGGGCGUAAAGGGCGCGUAGGCGGAUAUUUAAGUUAGAGGUGAAAGCCCAGGGCUCAACCCUGGAAUAGCCUUUAAUACUGGAUAUCUUGAGUUCGGGAGAGGUGAGUGGAACUCCGAGUGUAGAGGUGAAAUUCGUAGAUAUUCGGAAGAACACCAGUGGCGAAGGCGACUCACUGGCCCGAUACUGACGCUGAGGCGCGAAAAGGCGUGGGGAGCAAACAGG
rnacentral:rRNA from 1 species